CUAGAAUUGGUCAAAUCACUGUGACUCAACUUCCCUGGUCUGCUGGAAGAAAUGAAGGCACACAUGGAAAGGAGUGGCUGAGAAUUUAAUACUGGUAAACACUAUAAAUUGUAAAUGUAAGUUGUAAAUGACCUUGUCACUGGAGAGGGGAGAAGGAACUGGAGUCAGACGUCCCAGCAGAAACAGCAGCGGCAACAUGCGGUAGGCACACCUGGAGAGCAACAGGCACUUUGGUAAGUGGUUCAUGCACAUGGUCUUAUUUUAGUCUCGGGGCAGCCCUAAGAGGUAGGUAUCUGGUGUCACCUUACACAUGACGAGACAAACCAGAGAGGUCAGCACAGCAGAAGCUCAUGCAGCGACCAAGCAGCAGAGCCUGGAUUCAAACCCGAGCCCUGCUGUGUGCAAGAACCCCUGGGACUCAGCUGUUCCUGCUCACAGCAGGCUGAGCACCAGAGCCACCUGGAGGGCCCAUAAUAGGCACCACUGUGCCCAGGCACGAGGCAGCCAAGUGGCACAUGCCACCCGGGGAAGACAACUUGGUGGCAGGGAGAGCAGGUGGGCGGAGCCAAGAAGCCAGGCCAAGGCGCUCAGCACAAUCCCUGAGGGGAACUCACCAUACCCGGGUGCAGCCCUCAGACUCCCACCAGCCUUCAUCAGUGGGUUUUGAUGGUGACAUGGGAGAGGGCCUGCCCACUCCCAGGUACAGCAUAACUGAGGCACAGUCACUAAGCCUGCCCCACUGUAAGGCCUGGCUGUUGGCUGUGGAGAGAGGACAGCCCUGCAGACCCUGGCUCACUGCUCACCCCCACUCCAGGAGCUCCCACAUCAGGGCGGGUAGAGCCCGCAGUCCUGUCGCAGAUGCCCCUCACCGCACUGUCCUGUCAUCCUGACUCCAUAGUCCACGGGCGUCAGCAAGCCCUGGGAACACAGUUCACUCCCCUUUGUGGUCCUAGUGUUUAGGACCCAACACAGCUCCUCUAACCAAGGCACAACCUGAAAUUCUCUCCUGCCCAGGACUGACAAGCUGGGACAAGGAAGGGACAGGGUUUCCAUCAACUCAUCCAUCUGGAAGGAGUGUGAAGACAUGGCCCCUUGUGGAGUUCUAGCUGGCACCCGCAGGGUCUACUCUGGUGGGGGCUACUUUUGUACGAGUCAAGAUGCAACUGCUUUAUUUUUUAGUUUUUUUUUGAGACAAGGUCACAACGUUGCCCAGGCUGGAGUGCAAUGGCGUGAUCUCGGCUCACUGCAGCCUCCGCCUCCAGGGUUCAAGUGAUUCUUCCACCUCAGCCUCCCAAGUAGCUGGGAUUACACGCGUGUGCCACCACACCUGGCUAAUUUUUGCAUUUUUAGUAGAGACAGGGUUUCACCAUGUUGGCCAGGCUGGUCUCGAGCUCCCGACCUUAAGUGAUCUGCCCGCCUGGGCCUCCCAAAGUGCUGGGAUUACAGGCGUGAGCCACCAAGCCCGGCUGCAACUGCUUUAGAAAGAAUUAAUUAAUCCUUCCACGUUGGGACCCACCUGGGAGCUGCUGGAAGCCUGGGGACGCUGCCCCAGUGUGGUGAUGGGGGAUGACCUGGCACUCAACUGCUUCCACCACUUCAGUGUCAGUUGAGGAGACUCCUGGGGCCGAGGACAAGGGACAGGCACAGAGGCUCCUCGGUGAAGGGCAUGGGGGGCACUGCUCCCCCACUGGCCUCAGGAGCCUGCUUUUCAGAGCAGCAGGUGGGCUCUGGAUUCUAGCAACGGACACACUGAUCCUUAACCCUGGUUAGGAUCUUAACACAGGGAGAACUGUACUUUAUUGCAGCCACAGGGCUAACUGCUGGAGACAGACCCAUGGGCCCUGGCCAUUUCCACCACCCCAAAAACCUGCCCUUGUGCGUGGUAUCAAGGACAAACAAAUCACAAGCGCACAAAUCUGAUGAGUGCCAGGUGGGGUGCACAUUUGGGAAGAUGCCCCCACGUGGCUCUGAAGGCUCUUCCUGGGGGAGGCCUGCUCUCAGCUGCCUGCUCCUUCGGGAAUUCAAACCCCAGGCAAAGGCAGCUGGCCCCAGGCCAGAGAGGUCCUGGCUUCCCAACCUUGAGCUGUGCAGUCAUUACCUAGGUGCAGGCUGGGCUACAGGGACAGCCAAGCUGAGCAAGGACAGGUCCCCGCAGCCUAGACUGGGGCACCGCUUCGUUCUCGGUCUCACUCCCCGCUGUGCCGUGCUUUGCCUGUGAGACGGCGGCGCUGGGCCUUGCUGGUACGAGGGGCCCUUGGGGGCUUUUUGGAGUCCUGGGCCCGUCGGGGAUGUUUCCUCUUGACCUUUUUGCGGCUGUGUGCAUGUAGUGAUGCUGUGAGGGAGGAGAUCCUAGGGGAGGGCAGAAAGCCUCAGUUUAAGAUUGCAUUGUGGGGUGACUCACCACCUGGCUCACGGAGGGGAUGUCAGGACAGGUUGCGAAUGCCAG
rnacentral:lncRNA from 1 species